GGGAUGUUUAUCAUGGAAAUACUAUGUUUUUUUUUUAACUAUGAUAUUUACUAAAUUAUCUUUGGUAUUUGGAGUAUUUACGGUAUCACCAUUAAUCAUGUUUCACCACAGUGCAUUUAUGUAAGGGCAGAUGGUACGGAUACUCUGAGACAAAUUUAAACCGUCAACUCAAACUGAAAAAUAAAAUAUAUGAUAUGGAAUAUACCUAUUUUAAAUAAGUUGUCAUGACAGACUCUUCCAUUAAGACUUCCUCUGCAAUGAAUCUUGUAUUCAGCUAUAUUAUGAGCUGCUAACAGAUGGUGCGGAGCGUUUGGGCCGUGCGGUGGAGAUCACGAGGGCCGUCCGGGAGUCACUGAGUCAUCAGAGGUCAGAUGGUCCAUCCACGACUCCUUCAGCACUUUUAUCCAUGAAUCUUGGCGGCCUCACAGAUGGACCUCCAGCGUUUGACCUUCCGCUUACUGAAGGAGAAAAGCAGAAAAAUGAUCCAAAAGUACGGAUGACUAAUGGCUAAUCUGAGAUGAAACGUCAACCACAACAGCAUUUCACGCUUCUAGAAGCCCAGCGAAA